ACGCUGGCGGCAGGCCUAACACAUGCAAGUCGAGCGGUAGAGAGAAGCUUGCUUCUCUUGAGAGCGGCGGACGGGUGAGUAAUGCCUAGGAAUCUGCCUGGUAGUGGGGGAUAACGUUCGGAAACGGACGCUAAUACCGCAUACGUCCUACGGGAGAAAGCAGGGGACCUUCGGGCCUUGCGCUAUCAGAUGAGCCUAGGUCGGAUUAGCUAGUUGGUGAGGUAAUGGCUCACCAAGGCGACGAUCCGUAACUGGUCUGAGAGGAUGAUCAGUCACACUGGAACUGAGACACGGUCCAGACUCCUACGGGAGGCAGCAGUGGGGAAUAUUGGACAAUGGGCGAAAGCCUGAUCCAGCCAUGCCGCGUGUGUGAAGAAGGUCUUCGGAUUGUAAAGCACUUUAAGUUGGGAGGAAGGGUUGUAGAUUAAUACUCUGCAAUUUUGACGUUACCGACAGAAUAAGCACCGGCUAACUCUGUGCCAGCAGCCGCGGUAAUACAGAGGGUGCAAGCGUUAAUCAGAAUUACUGGGCGUAAAGCGCGCGUAGGUGGUUUGUUAAGUUGGAUGUGAAAUCCCCGGGCUCAACCUGGGAACUGCAUUCAAAACUGACUGACUAGAGUAUGGUAGAGGGUGGUGGAAUUUCCUGUGUAGCGGUGAAACGCGUAGAUAUAGGAAGGAACACCAGUGGCGAAGGCGACCACCUGGACUAAUACUGACACUGAGGUGCGAAAGCGUGGGGAGCAAAC
rnacentral:rRNA from 1 species